CUGUUAAAAGUUUCAAUGAGAUGUGUUUUUUCUCGGAAAACACAUUUUCAAUUAGUGAAAAUGUUCAAACUCUAUUACGCAGUACAUUAAAAUAUGCCGAUUAAUUACCCGGUAAUAUGUAUACACCCAUGCAUCUACUUUUUUAUUUUUUAUUUCUCGAUUCCCGCUAAUUGUUGAAAAGAGCUAAUACUGGAGGUGGGUUGUAGGUUUGGGAAGUUUGAAAGGUAAGAUACAUAAGGUUAUUUCAUUUAUAUCUGUAAGCAAUGAUCAACUAUUGCUGACGAAAGACGAUUCCGAGCGCAGUUCGAUAGUAUAAAAUUUGAAAUGCCAUAAUUUUUUUUUUGCGAUUUUUGUGUAGAUUUGAUUUCAAAACGUAUAUUAAAAAAACAGAUUUAACAAAAAUAUGGUCUCAUGUCGUUGUUUAAUUGGAGUCAUAUUUGUACUAGAAAAGUGGUAGGUACUUAUUUAAAAUAACGAAAUCGUGAAAAAACCGUAUUUUUUUCCCCGAUUAAUCAAUUAUAUUUCAAAUGCCAUUUCGAAAAUCAAAAAAUGACCGAUUUAUUUACCAAGUAGUUAAAAUUGAAUUUCAGAAAACGUGUUACACUUAAACAACGGAGCAAUUUUUCUAUGAUAAAUGUGGUCUAUAGUAUAAAAAAAAAACAAAGUACCAUUGUAAAAAAAAUUUAAAAAAGGAAAAUAAAGUAUUGUUAGCAAGUUUCAAGUCUCUACGUGUAUUUAUAACCAAAUUACAGCAAAAAACACCCAAAAAUUCAAAUUCCUAAAAACCUCAAAAGUGGCAUAAAUAAGAUUUGUUUUAAUUAAAAUAUUUCUCAUGUAAAUAUAGUUUAAUUGACCUUGAAUUUUACAUAAUUUUUCAAAAUGAAAUUUAACUCUAAAAUAUAAAUUUCCUCC